rnacentral:rRNA from 1 species
AGUGAACGCUGGCGGCAGGCCUAACACAUGCAAGUCGAACGGCAGCACAGUAAGAGCUUGCUCUUACGGGUGGCGAGUGGCGGACGGGUGAGGAAUACAUCGGAAUCUACUUUUUCGUGGGGGAUAACGUAGGGAAACUUACGCUAAUACCGCAUACGACCUACGUGUGAAAGCAGGGGAUCUUCGGACCUUGCGCGAUUGAAUGAGCCGAUGUCGGAUUAGCUAGUUGGCGGGGUAAAGGCCCACCAAGGCGACGAUCCGUAGCUGGUCUGAGAGGAUGAUCAGCGACACUGGAGCUGAGACACGGUCCAGACGCCUACGGGAGGCAGCAGUGGGGAAUAUUGGACAAUGGGCGGAAGCCUGAUCCAGCCAUGCCGCGGGGGUGAAGAAGGCCGUCGGGUUGUAAAGCCCUUUUGUUGGGAAAGAAGAGCAGCAGGUUAAUACCCCGCUGUUCUGACGGUACCCAAAGAAUAAGCACCGGCUAACUUCGUG